rnacentral:rRNA from 1 species
AGAGUUUGAUCCUGGCUCAGGAUGAACGCUAGCGGCAGGCUUAACACAUGCAAGUCGAGGGGCAUCGGGAGGGAAGCUUGCUUUCCUUGCCGGCGACCGGCGCACGGGUGAGUAACACGUAUGCAACCUGCCCUCUUCAGGGGGACAACCUUCCGAAAGGGAGGCUAAUCCCGCGUAUAUCGGUUUCGGGCAUCCGGGAUCGAGGAAAGAUUCAUCGGAAGAGGAUGGGCAUGCGGCGCAUUAGCUGGACGGCGGGGUAACGGCCCACCGUGGCGACGAUGCGUAGGGGUUCUGAGAGGAAGGUCCCCCACACUGGUACUGAGACACGGACCAGACUCCUACGGGAGGCAGCAGUGAGGAAUAUUGGUCAAUGGGAGAGAUCCUGAACCAGCCAAGCCGCGUGAGGGAAGACGGCCCUAUGGGUUGUAAACCUCUUUUGUCGGAGAACAAAACCCGGGACGUGUCCCGGACUGCGUGUAUCCGAAGAAAAAGCAUCGGCUAACUCCGUGCCAGCAGCCGCGGUAAUACGGAGGAUGCGAGCGUUAUCCGGAUUUAUUGGGUUUAAAGGGUGCGUAGGCGGUCCGUUAAGUCAGCGGUAAAAUUGCGGGGCUCAACCCCGUCGAGCCGUUGAAACUGGCAGACUUGAGUUGGCGAGAAGUACGCGGAAUGCGCGGUGUAGCGGUGAAAUGCAUAGAUAUCGCGCGGAACUCCGAUUGCGAAGGCAGCGUACCGGCGCCAGACUGACGCUGAGGCACGAAAGCGUGGGGAUCGAACAGGAUUAGAUACCCUGGUAGUCCACGCAGUAAACGAUGAAUGCUGGUUGUCCGGGUCGAAUGAGAUCUGGGCGGCGAAGCGAAAGCGAUAAGCAUUCCACCUGGGGAGUACGCCGGCAACGGUGAAACUCAAAGGAAUUGACGGGGGCCCGCACAAGCGGAGGAACAUGUGGUUUAAUUCGAUGAUACGCGAGGAACCUUACCCGGGCUCAAACGGGAGUGGAAUGGACCAGAGACGGUUCAGCCUACGGGCCGCUUCCGAGGUGCUGCAUGGUUGUCGUCAGUUCGUGCCGUGAGGUGUCGGCUUAAGUGCCAUAACGAGCGCAACCCCCGCCGGCAGUUGCUAACGGGCAAUGCCGAGGACUCUGCCGGGACUGCCGCCGCAAGGCGAGAGGAAGGCGGGGAUGACGUCAAAUCAGCACGGCCCUUACGUCCGGGGCGACACACGUGUUACAAUGGGCGGUACAGCGGGAAGCCAGGCGGCGACGCCGAGCGGAACCCGAAAGCCGUUCUCAGUUCGGAUCGGAGUCUGCAACCCGACUCCGUGAAGCUGGAUUCGCUAGUAAUCGCGCAUCAGCCAUGGCGCGGUGAAUACGUUCCCGGGCCUUGCACACACCGCCCGUCA